GAAUAAGAGGUGUCGACACGGAAGUCCAAAAUUAUUGAAGAAAGUACAGGAGCAACUAGUCAAAUCCAAAUUAGCAGUGUAACGGCCAGUGUUGGUUGCUGUGAUUAAUUGGUUCCCAUCCUGGCAAGAUGUAGUUGUCGCCUUGAAUUGUUCAAUUACCCGAUCCACCGCAUAAGGCGUAUAGAUUUUACGUAACCGCUCCAUGAUAGGAUGCAACUUCUGAACCGGAAAUCGAAUUUUCAACUCAUUUCCUUUCUUUUUUCGAUCAAACUCUCUCAUUUGGCUAAUGUCAAGCAAUACUUGUAUCAGCUCGGGAAAUCUUACUUGCCGAUUACGGACGUGAAUACCGUUCGAUUCUGUUCGUCGUGUGAUUGUCCAUCAUGAAUAGAGUUCUUCUAUAAAAACGGCCCAAUAUUCUGUAAUAUUAAACCAAUUGGUUUCGAAAUAAUGCCCAAGUCCGUCGUACGUGCCGUCGUCGUCAUCUUCAUCUAAAAAAUUCCUUUUUUAAAAUAAAGAUUUCCGAUCCAGCGUAGACGGCUUCUUUGAACUGUUGGUAUAUCUCUUCCCGGAGAUUCCGGCUUAACUUGGCUUGGACGAGACGUUUGUCAACAGCAGCCAACGCGUGGAAAAGGCACAAUUUCAAAGACGCUGAGGUGAAAAUGCGUUCUACGGCGUUCAUCUCUUUGCAAUCCUUGUCGGUAAGAACCACUUUCGUCUUGCUGACGUC